rnacentral:rRNA from 1 species
AACGUAGGAGGCGAGCGUUAUCCGGAGUUACUGGGCGUAAAGCGCGCGUAGGCGGUUGGGCAAGUUGGGUGUGAAAGCUCCCGGCUAAACUGGGAGAGGCCAUUCAAGACUGCCUGGCUGGAGGUCGGUAGAGGGGCGCAGAAUUCGGGGUGUAGCGGUGAAAUGUGUAGAGAUCCCGAGGAAUACCAGUGGGGAAGCCGGCGCCCUGGGCCGAACCUGACGCUGAGGCGCGACAGCGUGGGGAGCGAACGGGAUUAGAUACCCCCGUAGUCC